AAUAGGGCGUUCAGUCGCAUGCCGUAGACCCGAAGCCGAGUGAGCUAUCCAUGGGCAGUGUGAAGCGGAGGUAAGACUCUGUGGAGGCGCGAACCGACUUCAGUUGAAAAUGGAGCGGAUGACCUGUGGAUAGGGGUGAAAGGCCAAUCAAACUCGGUGAUAGCUGGUUCUCCGCGAAAUGCAUUUAGGUGCAGCGUCGUGCGUUCAACGAUGGGGGUAGAGCACUGAAUGGGCUAGGGGUCCUACAAGACUACCGACCCCAAUCAAACUCCGAAUACCAUCGUUCCAGAGCACGGCAGUGAGACCUCGGGGGAUGAGCUUCGAGGUCGAGAGGGAAACAGCCCAGACCGCCAGCUAAGGUCCCAAAAUCUGAACUAAGUGGUAAACGAUGUGAGAUUGCGAAAACAGCCAGGAGGUUGGCUUGGAAGCAGCCAUCCUUUAAAGAGUGCGUAACAGCUCACUGGUCGAGUGAUCUUGCGCGGACAAUGUAACGGGGCUCAAGUUCAGUACCGAAGCUGCGGAUGCGACUCUCUGAGUCGCGUGGUAGCGGAGCGUCGAGCGCGCAGCGAAGCGGCGGGAUAACCCAGCCGUGGAGUGCGUUCGAGCGAGAAUGUUGGCAUGAGUAGCGAAAGAGGGGUGAGAACCCCCUCCGCCGUAUGUCCAAGGGUUCCUGGGCGAGGCCAAUCCUCCCAGGGUGAGUCGGGGGCUAAGGCGAGGCCGAGAGGCGUAGUCGAUGCACAACUGGUUGAUAUUCCAGUACCACCAUGUUCGCGACCGUUCCAAUACUUUGUUGCUAAGGGGCUGUGUUGACUUCGGUUAACACGAACCGACCCACAUUGUUGCGGAAAGCUAUAGGGGGACGCAGGAAGGUAGAUGAACCCGGUGAAUGGUAGAACCGGGGUAAGCGUGUAGGAGGAGGACCAGGCAAAUCCGGGCCUCACAUACUCUGAGACGUGAUACCGAGCCGCUUCAGGCGAAGUCAUUAAUCCUAUGCUGCCUAGAAAAGCCCAGUAGCGAGUUGACAUGGUGCCCGUACCCCAAACCAACACAGGUGGACAGGUAGAGCAUACCAAGGCGAGUGGGAUAACUAUGGUUAAGGAACUCGGCAAAUUUCCUCCGUAACUUCGGGAUAAGGAGGACCCCAGUAGCGUGACGAGACUUGCUCUCCGAGCGUGAAGGGGUGGCACAAAAUUGAGGGAAGCGACUGUUUACCAAAAACACAGCAGCGUGCUAAGCCGUAAGGCGCUGUAUACGCUGUGACUCCUGCCCGGUGCUGGAAGGUUACGGGGAUGGGUUAGUCCUUCGGGACGAAGCUCUGAACCUAAGCCCCAGUAAACGGCGGCCGUAACUAUAACGGUCCUAAGGUAGCGAAACUCCUUGUCGGGUAAGUUCCGACCUGCACGAAUGGAGUAACGACUUCCCUACUGCCUCAACCAUAGACCCAGCGAAAUUGAAGUACGAGUAAAGAUGCUCGUUAGCUGCAGAAGGACGGAAAGACCCCGUGGACCUUUACUAUAACUUGAUGUUGUGUUUUGUCAUAC
rnacentral:rRNA from 1 species